rnacentral:rRNA from 1 species
UACGGAGGGUGCAAGCGUUGUCCGGAUUUAUUGGGUUUAAAGGGUGCGUAGGCGGCCCGUUAAGUCAGUGGUGAAAGCCUCCAGCUCAACUGGAGAACUGCCAUUGAUACUGACGGGCUUGAGUACAGACGAGGUUGGCGGAAUUGAUUGUGUAGCGGUGAAAUGCAUAGAUACAAUCAAGAACACCGAUUGCGGAGGCAGCUAACUAGGCUGUAACUGACGCUGAGGCACGAAAGCGUGGGGAGCGAACAGG